rnacentral:rRNA from 1 species
GGGGAAUAUUGGACAAUGGGCGAAAGCCUGAUCCAGCAAUGCCGCGUGAGUGAUGAAGGCCUUAGGGUUGUAAAGCUCUUUUACCCGGGAAGAUAAUGACUGUACCGGGAGAAUAAGCCCCGGCUAACUCCGUGCCAGCAGCCGCGGUAAUACGGAGGGGGCUAGCGUUGUUCGGAAUUACUGGGCGUAAAGCGCACGUAGGCGGCUUUGUAAGUUAGAGGUGAAAGCCUGGAGCUCAACUCCAGAACUGCCUUUAAAACUGCAUCGCUUGAACGUCGGAGAGGUGAGUGGAAUUCCGAGUGUAGAGGUGAAAUUCGUAGAUAUUCGGAAGAACACCAGUGGCGAAGGCGGCUCACUGGACGACUGUUGACGCUGAGGUGCGAAAGCGUGGGGAGCAAAC